ACAAAUGUAUAAAGUUGGUGUGACCUUUUUAUAGCGCUUUCUUUUGCAGCUUACAAAGUCAAUAAAAAACUGAAUAUAAAUUCAAGGACAAGUUAUCUCAACAUCCUUGGUCAAAGGACAUUUUUACACAUAAGUAGGUACUUAGGUACUGAAAAAAUUCCACGCACGUGCUAAAUUAUGCAUAAAAUUUGUUCGCUCUCGAUGACCACCCAUAAAAAGCCCCACACCUAAAACAUACGCUGAAACGCUGAUAUGCCAAUGCUUUUCAGAACCGAAGACUUUUAUCAGCUCUUCAAAAAUCAUAAAACCAAACAAAUUCAAAACCAAAAACAUGCUACCUUGAUUAAGGUAACAUUUCCUAAAACCUUGACAUUUCGUCAUCAAAGUUACCACGACGAGCAAACCAUUCAGAACGCGUUCAUUUCAAAUGGAAUUUUCUUUUAAAAAUUAAAAAAUGAAAAAGUUACCACUUCUCUACAUUUUAGUACAAAUAUUAUCAAUUUUCGGAAUUUUAUCAUUAGUUCAGGCUAAAGUUGAACAAGCAGGUUUGGUUAUAUUCUUAGUGAUUGGGGUCUUUUUGUGUCUUAUGCUGAUUCCUGGAUUAGGACCUGUAAUAGCCUUUGCAAGUGCGCCUGUAUUCUUGGAGUAUAUUCGAGUGGCUUAUCUAUCGUUCACGUGAUACAGGGUGAACAAUGAAGAUGGAUGAAUUUUUAUGGUCACUUUAUUCUGAGCUUUCAGUUUACAUAAUUGAGUUCUUGUUUUAAAUUACUUCUGUGAUUUUCACAUCAGAAGGAUAAUGUUCCCAUCAUAAUAAGUUAUGAUUUGUAUACGAAUGAUAAUAAAAAUAUGAAACCAUUCUUCGAGUUUUUCUUUCAACCAAUCAAUGGCUACCAACACAACAACAUCGAGUAAAAAACUUGAACAACAACUUGACCAUGAAAAUAAAAGCUUGCCCACGACAUCGUCAUUCGAAUGUCAAUUGUCACGUGCACUCUUCAUAAAACAAAUCCGUUAUCAACAAAGAGCCAAUUUUCUUCGUUUUGAUAAAAGAAAAAAGUAUACAAAAUACUUACGUAACAAAAAAAAAACAGUACCUACGAAAACACUUUGACGGUUUUUCAGACUUUUGACAAUUCCAUGAAUUGUCAAAUGUCCUUCUCAAUCACAAAAUGAAUUUCUUGAUUAUUUUUCUGUUGAUGUUCGGUUCAUUAUUUUUGGCUCGAGCCAGUCCUAUUUUAGGAGUUGUACUUACCAAUUUAUUAUCAACCUUGUUUUUUGCUUUGCUCGACAUACCAACUGCAGGAGUUGUCUUGGCGCUGGUGAGUGCCCCUGCAUUUUUGGUUAUCAUUUUCAUCGGAUGCGUUUGUUGAAGAUUAGUGCAAUCCUUGCAUCAAGAAUGAGAUUUCAUACUUAAGCAGUUCAAACAGAUACAAAAUGUAUACACAGACAUCAUAAAGCAAUACCUACUAUAUCGUUUUUCAGUCAUAAGAAGGUAAUUUUUAUGCAUAAAAUUUACUUUGCCCGAACCAGAACCAUGAUGUAUUUAUAUCAAUAAAUCGUCCUAGCAAACAAAAUGGAAACUUUCAAUUUUUUCGGGAUCCUAUAAUUCCAUUCCUGUUUAAAAGCUCAUAUAAAAGUUAAAAAAACAAUAAUUAAUUUACAACAAGCAUUCAGGUGGAUCACGAUUUUUAAAAAAUGUCGGAGGAUUCUGACCAAGUUUGGUUGGAGACCUUCAUCACUUCGAGUUGUAGGCCAUUUGGAAAAAUUUUAGCUCUAGAGGUCUCACCGAAGGGGAGAUGUGAGCAGAGGCGUGACGAAGUGAUGUGUCGUAGGGUGAAGGGAUCAGACUGAUAUUUUUCCAACUUUUCAUCUCCCCCCACCCCCCCCACCCCCAUCUCCCUCCCUCUCCAAUAUUUUUCGCGCUGAUUUUCCGGAUAUACAUCGAACAAAUUUUGGAAGGAAGAGUUGUAAACAAAAAUGUUGAAUAAUUUUUAAUCUUCAAGAAUGAUGCUUUUAUACUCGACGAAAAAUUUGAGAAUUUUUUUCGUGUUUUUUUAGCCCAUUUCGACUUCAAAAAAAUCAAAUUUAAAAAGAAAGCAGAAUAUUCUCGAUUUUGCUGGAGUGAAGUGAGAGAGAAACCUUUAGAAAACCUACAAUUUGUGAAGUACAAAAAAAUAAUUUUCAAAAUAAAAAGUUUCAACGCCAAAAUGUUUUGCUAUAUUUGGUAUUUUUGAAUCAAAUUUCACACCUUGAGGGCAAAAGCUCUCGAAAAUUCACAAUUUUUCAUUUUUUUUUAAGGAUAUAAUUUUUGUAUUUUCAAACACAACCAAUCUUGGCAAAAAUUAGAAACUGUUUUUUCCGAAUUUUUGGUGAGAAAUUAGACAUGUUGUUGGGAUUUUCUGGCAGUUUUGACUGGAAUGCAUUGAAGAGACCUUUUUUUGGUUGGCAAAUUUCAUGUAAAACAACAUUAUUUUUGAUACCAGAAAUCAAUUUUUCUAUUCCUCAAUUUUGGUCAGAGUAACUAUAAAAAUAGGUGGUCCAUUUUUUGUCAAAAAUCACUAAAAGGUCUCGUUUUUUCCAAAAUUGCAGAAAAAUCUAUUCUUUUUUUUUAAAUCAAAAUUUCCAGAAAGCCUUGGUUUUUUUGUUGCAAAAAAUAGGUAUGUUUUUGUUGUCCAAAUUGCAAAAAAAAAAAACAAUUUUUCAUCAAAUUUAUCAGAAAAUCUUAUUUUUUUUACUAAAAUUACAACAAAUCCUCUUUUUUUGUAAAAACUGUUAAAAAGACCUAUUUCACGUUGAAAUUUCAAAAAAAAAAAAAAAAAAAAAAAUUAAAAAACAAACAAAAAGUAAAAA